UAGUGGGAGGGGUAACGGCCCACCAAGGCAAUGAUCAGUAGCCGGUGUGAGAGGAUGAACGCCCACAUUGGGACUGAGACACGGCCCAAACUCCUACGGGAGGCAGCAGUGGGGAUUCUUCCGCAAUGGACGAAAGUCUGACGGAGCAACGCCGCGUGAGUGAUGAAGGUCUUCGGAUUGUAAAGCUCUGUUAAUCGAAACGAAAAGAGCCUAGUGUGAAUAAUGCUAGGAAGUGACGGUACCGGAAUAGAAAGCCACGGCUAACUACGUGCCAGCAGCCGCGGUAAUACGUAGGUGGCAAGCGUUGUCCGGAAUUAUUGGGCGUAAAGCGCGCGCAGGCGGAUCUGCCAGUCUGUCUUAAAAGUUCGGGGCUUAACCCCGUGAUGGGAUGGAAACUACAGAUCUAGAGUAUCGGAGAGGAAAGUGGAAUUCCUAGUGUAGCGGUGAAAUGCGUAGAUAUUAGGAAGAACACCAGUGGCGAAGGCGACUUUCUGGACGAAAACUGACGCUGAGGCGCGAAAGCGCGGGGAGCGAACGGGAUUAGAUACCCCGGUAGUCCUGGCCGUAAACGAUGGGUACUAGGUGUAGGAGGUAUCGACCCCUUCUGUGCCGCAGUAACGCAAUAA
rnacentral:rRNA from 1 species